rnacentral:rRNA from 1 species
GACGAACGCUGGCGGCGUGCUUAACACAUGCAAGUCGAACGGAAAGGCCCUGCUCUUGUGGGUUGCUCGUGUGGCGAACGGGUGAGUAACACGUGAGUAACCUGCCCUUGACUUUGGGAUAACUUCAGGAAACUGGGGCUAAUACCGGAUAGGAUCUCCUGCUGCAUGGUGGGGGUUGGAAAGUUUCGGCGGUUGGGUAUGGUCUCGCGGCUUAUCAGCUUGUUGGUGGGGUAGUGGCUUACCAAGGCUUUGACGGGUAGCCGGCAUGAGAGGGUGACCGGCCACAAGGGGACUGAGAUACGGAGCAGACUCGAAUGGGAGGCAGCGGUGGGGAAUAUGGCAGAAUGGGCGGAAGCCUGAUGUGGCAACGCCGGGUGCGGGAUGACGGCCUUCGAGUUGUAAACCGCUUUCGACUGUGAUGAAGCGUGAGUGACGGUAAUGGGUAAAGAAGCACCGGCUAACUACGUG